rnacentral:rRNA from 1 species
GACGAACGCUGGCGGCGUGCUUAACACAUGCAAGUCGAACGGAAAGGCCCUGCUUUUGUGGGGUGCUCGAGUGGCGAACGGGUGAGUAACACGUGAGUAACCUGCCCUUGACUUUGGGAUAACUUCAGGAAACUGGGGCUAAUACCGGAUAGGAGCUCCUGCUGCAUGGUGGGGGUUGGAAAGUUUCGGCGGUUGGGGAUGGACUCGCGGCUUAUCAGCUUGUUGGUGGGGUAGUGGCUUACCAAGGCUUUGACGGGUAGCCGGCCUGAGAGGGUUACCGGCCACCAUGGUACUGAGAUACGGCCCAGACUCCUACGGGAGGCAGCAGUGGGGAAUAUUGCACAAUGGGCGGAAGCCUGAUGCAGCAACGCCGCGUGCGGGAUGACGGCCUUCGGGUUGUAAACCGCUUUCGCCGGUGACGAAGCGUGAUUGACGGUAAUGGGUAAAGAAGCACCGGCUAACUACGUG